rnacentral:rRNA from 1 species
CAGACCGCGGGAAUACGUAGGUGGCAAGCGUUGUCCGGAAUUAUUGGGCGUAAAGGGCUCGCAGGCGGUUUCUUAAGUCUGAUGUGAAAGCCCCCGGCUCAACCGGGGAGGGUCAUUGGAAACUGGGAAACUUGAGUGCAGAAGAGGAGAGUGGAAUUCCACGUGUAGCGGUGAAAUGCGUAGAGAUGUGGAGGAACACCAGUGGCGAAGGCGACUCUCUGGUCUGUAACUGACGCUGAGGAGCGAAAGCGUGGGGAGCGAACAGGAUUAGAUACCCCAGUAGUCCCUGUCUCUUAUACAC